UUACUUUCUUGUCGUGGAAGAUCGUAGCUUGAUGAACGCAUUUUGAUGGAUUCGAUCCCAAGCUUUGAAGGCCUGAAUUCUCAGGUUCCCAAUUUGCGGUCUUCUUUUUCAUUCCCUUCUGAGCCCCCUGAUGUUGGGAAUUGGUUCUCUAGCUAUGAGUAUCAGUCUCCCGACCCGGAUUCGAAUUUUAGAGUUAAAGAUUCUGCUUUCACGGAAAACGAAUCUCAGGGAGAUGGUGAAGAAGUUGUAGAAGAAAAGGUUAGGAUUCGAGGUCUACGGCCUGAUAGGGACAAUGUAGGUCAUGAAGAAGAGGAUAAUCAUAACGAAGAACAGGGCAUGAACAAGAAUCUUGGACCUUUCAGUUCAUGUUCACUCCUUUCUGAGCCUCCUGACAUCAGAAACUGGUUUUCCAGCUAUGUUUACGAGUCACCUGAGUUUGAUACAUGUAGUAUUUUAAGAGAUGAAGUUUCUGAAGAGAACCACUGUGAGAAGUUUGAUUUUGAAGUCGUGAAAGCAGACGGAAGCAAGCCUGCCAAUGGCUACUUGAAAGGGUGUGUUGAGCACAAUGACUCCUCUAAUAAUAAAACAAAGGGUGAUGAUUGUGCUGAAGUGAAGAAAAAUUCAACUACAGUUGACACUUAUCAGAAAAAGAUUUUGCAGCCAUGCAGGCAAGUUAGAACAACGCUGCAGCAUAAACAUGGUCCAACUAAUUACAAGGAGACGUUAGAUCUGAAUCACACAAGGCCUCAUUACGAUCGAGAAGGACAUCCAAUGUCACUGGAUACCGAUAAAAGUGCUACGAAACCUCCAAAGCUGCUGCAUAAGAACGAUUCCCAAAUAUCAAACACAACUGAUAUCCAACCUGAUAACAGGCUUGACUUGAGUGUAACUGCAACUAAAACCUUCUCAACAAGAACUGCAGCCUGUACAAACAAUAAAGAAAAUGACGGCUUUGUGACAACAAGGAAGAAAAUUUUCACAGGAGGAAACGAUGAAAAUUGUGGGAAGAAACCUGAAAAGAUAUUGUUAGAGCGGUCAGUAAGUACAGUAAAAAUUCCAUUGCAAUGUGGUGUUACAAAGAGAAAGGCAUUAACAGAAUCAACAAAUGUUCAACUAUAUGAUGACAUAGGGAUAACAGGGAAAUGGCAAUGCCCACAGAAACGUAAACCUGAUGUUGGGCCAGCUAUGAAACAACUUAGGCUCGAGCGCUGGGUUCGUAGAUUAUGAGACCUGAGAGAAACAUUAUUCCAUGAAACAACUUUUUCAUGGUUAGUGUUCGAAGGACAUGCUAAAGAAUGGGCUUAGAUUAUUUUGAGAAAGAGGUGGGCAUUGUGGGCCCAUAAGAGGCGUAUAAAGGCAGAGCAAUCACGGAUGUGAAGGUAGCGUAGGCGGAGCAGG